CAGCUGUCUAAAGGUCAAGGCAGAAACAUGCCUGAUGUGUUUCAGAAAGAGCAUGGAGGCUGGCAUGCUUGGAGUGGAAAAAACAAGGGAGAGUAACGGGAGAUUCAGUCUUAGUUGUUAGUAGGACCAGUUUGGCUGCUGGGAGCAAGGGUAGAGCUGGGUUAUUAGUCAAGAGCCUGUUGCAAUAAUGCAGGGUGCGGUGGACCGAAGAAUACAACAGCACUUGAUCAUGACCAGGAGCCAAAGGGAAGCCAUUCUUCAUGUUGAAGAGAUGGAUUUCAAAUCUUCAAACUAUUUGGAAUUGUCUUAUGAAGCAAUUUUAGAUAAAGUUUCCUAAACAGAAUUAAUUUAAAGGCUCAUUUAGAAUGGGAUAUAUGUACAAUUUUAAUAUCCUAUACUCCAUUGAGAAUUAAGUAAACCUCUUU
ensembl:lncRNA